rnacentral:rRNA from 1 species
UGCGUAGGCGGUCUUUCAAGCCAGAAGUGAAAGGCUACGGCUCAACCGUAGUAAGCUUUUGGAACUGUAGGACUUGAGUGCAGGAGAGGAGAGUAGAAUUCCUAGUGUAGCGGUGAAAUGCGUAGAUAUUAGGAGGAAUACCAGUAGCGAAGGCGGCUCUCUGGACUGUAACUGACGCUGAGGCACGAAAGCGUGGGAGCGAACA